AUGAGAUGCAGUCCUUUUCACUCUUCCCUUCCAUUUUCACAGGCAGAGGAACCUCUCCGUGUGGCUACCACCACCAAAGGCCCACAUAAAUUACUGCCCGGUUAUUGCCAACGUUCACUUAAGAUGCAAGGGAUCUUCAGUCAGCUUGUGGUGAAUGCUGCCUGCCCUGGUUCUCACCAUGUAUUAGCUUCUGAUUCAGGAAUCAGAGCUGAAAUCACCACAACAUAAGUUGGAGUGUUUCUUUAUCUUUCUAGUUUCCAGAACACUUUGUGAAAUGGCAGAAUCAAGUCAUGUAUCAGCCCACAUUCAAGACUAGCAUCUGUGAGAGAGAGAAUACUGGGAAUCAUAGUUCAUUGAUGAGAGAGAGGUAAGGUGGGCAGAUUUGGAAACUACUACCACUAAAAUAAUUUUUUUCCUGUAACAAUUAACAUCUUUUUCUUUAAUUUCCUAACAGUCAUUUAAUACUUUGUUUUGUCC
rnacentral:lncRNA from 13 species